AGAUUUGCAUGAUCGGCUGUAUCUUUAUAAUCCAAUAUUAAAGAGAGAAAGAUUCUCAAUCUGGAGAGAAAUGCAAAAAGGUCCAAAUAUUAAGUUUUCCCAUGCUUUCCAUGUUUUGAUGACGUUGAUUUUAUAUGACAUUAAAAAGAUUAGGAAUAUUUUUUUAAAGUUAAUUUAUGGUUUGUUUAUUGGUUUAGAUUUAUGGCCAACCACAACACCAAGGCCAACCUUGAAACCUACUGAUCUCUCAGACAUCUAUUGUGGCAAUGAUCCUACAUUAUGUCCGUUUGGGUAUGUGUGUAGAUUUACAGGGUACUGUAUGUAUAUAUGGGAUAAAUAAGGAAGAACACAUACAGUUGCUUACAAAGUGGAGGAAAAGCGAUUUUGAUUUGUUAAAAACAACCUUGUAGUUAGCCAUUCAAUGAAAAUAAUUACUUAAUUUGA